rnacentral:rRNA from 1 species
UACGAAGGGGGCUAGCGUUGCUCGGAAUGACUGGGCGUAAAGGGCGCGUAGGCGGUUUGUACAGUCAGGUGUGAAAUCCUGGAGCUCAACUCCAGAACUGCCUUUGAUACUGAAGAUCUUGAGUCCGGGAGAGGUGAGUGGAACUGCGAGCGUAGAGGUGAAAAUUCGUAGAUAUUCGCAAGAACACCAGUGGCGAAGGCGGCAUCUGGACCGAUAUUGACGCUGAGGCGCGAAAGCCAGGGGAG